UACGGGGGGGGGCAAGCGUUGUUCGGAAUUACUGGGCGUAAAGGGCUCGUAGGUGGCCAACUAAGUCGGACGUGAAAUCCCUCAGCUUAACUGGGGAACUGCGUCCGAUACUGGAUGGCUUGAGUUUGGGAGAGGGAUGCGGAAUUCCAGGUGUAGCGGUGAAAUGCGUAGAUAUCAGGAGGAACACCUAUAGCGAAGGCAGCUCGCUGGUACGACACUGACGCUAAGGCGCGAAAGCGUGGGGAGCGAACAGG
rnacentral:rRNA from 1 species